CUGCUCCACUUGUUGGGUCCUGACAGAGAGCUGCUCUCGUCUCCUGUUGUGGGGUUGUUCCCAGGUCGCUGGGGAGAGAGGCCUGACUGGGGUGCGGAGAUCAGCCAAGGAGAACUUAGAAUGGAACAGUUCCAGCUAAGAUUCUUCCCUUGUAUUCUCCCAAGAGUUUAGUGCAAUGCUCUGCAUAAGCUCUCACCCUUAAUCCACACUAUCACCCUCGAGAUCAAUAUGAACUGGCCACAUGGACUACUUCAUAAUUAAAUAAAUGAUGCAUAGGGCAGUGAUGUCUUUGAGACGAGACUUUGAAACCCGAGCUCUUCUCUGCCCAGUGUGAAUAUUGAAGACUGACUGGCGCCUUCUGCAAAUACAAAGAUAAAUUAAGUACCAGGAACUUGGGAACCUAUAGAAUCGUUACUCGACUGCCUGUCAAGCAACUAUCAGUCAUAGCAUUUAAGGGUAUACAAUGCUGCUGAGCCCUCAGGAAGCCUGGACUCCCUUCAUGCUACUCCUGGAAGUGGCUAACAUUGGAGAGGGAAAUGGAGAGGUGAUUAGGGUUAGGAUAAACAUUACUGGUGCCGAGUAGACCUCCAGCAGGUGCAGAAGCCUCUCUUCAUGUCACAGACCUUUGGACUUUGGCCAUCAGGAUCCACCUGAUAGGAGGACACACUUGGGACCUCCGUUUCAGUGAAUACAUUUGGUCCAGAUUCCAACGAAGCAUCAAUAGGUGAAAGGCACCAAUACCAGUGCCCCGGUGCUUGCAGAAAUACUGUUUGUGAGCUCUAAGUUCACCGUAAAUGAGUAUUUACUGAGUGUCCUCAGGGUGCAAAUUACUAAACUUUGAGUUGCUUAACUUGGCUUGUUGCAUGUGGAAUGUUUUCAGAGAAAAUCCUGGGUCAGCUCUUAGAUCAGAUAAAUAUGUUCAUUCUCAAACUCCUAAAUGUUUUCUUGAAAUAAGAAAGAUACAAAAUAGAAUCCAAGAAUCUGAAACGUUUUAGUAAUACAAUCUCAACAAUAAAUGAUUUAGACUAUUUCCCAUUGCAAAUAUGCAUUAAUUUUUUUCCCCAUGGUGCCUCUCUGACAUCAGUCUCUGAAGUUGAUCAAUUUAAAGCAGUCUGAAAUGCAACUACGGUGCUCUAACAGUGGUUUAGUAAGUGCUCUAACUGCUUUGUAACACAGUAAGGAAGUUGUUUGGGACAAGCUGCUUUUGUAGUUCUGCUUCCCCUUUCUCUACCCUGGACCCCUUCCAUCUUUUGACAAGACCCUAAGUUUAGAGAAUUCUUAUUAGCAUCAGCAUCCCUGGGUUCAAAACAUAUCCCAGCUAUUUGGAGUCUUAAUGUAUAUAAUCAAUCAAUUUAUUGAGCUCUU